rnacentral:piRNA from 1 species
UGGGCGCUUGAUGGGACACUUCAC